rnacentral:rRNA from 1 species
AUUGAACGCUGGCGGCAUGCUUUACACAUGCCAGUCGAACGGCAGCGCGGGCUUCGGCCUGGCGGCGAGUGGCGAACGGGUGAGUAAUGCAUCGGAACGUGCCCAGUAGUGGGGGAUAGCCCGGCGAAAGCCGGAUUAAUACCGCAUACGACCUGAGGGUGAAAGCGGGGGACCGAAAGGCCUCGCGCUAUUGGAGCGGCCGAUGUCGGAUUAGCUAGGUGGUGGGGUAAAGGCUUACCAAGGCGACGAUCCGUAGCUGGUCUGAGAGGACGACCAGCCACACUGGGACUGAGACACGGCCCAGACUCCUACGGGAGGCAGCAGUGGGGAAUUUUGGACAAUGGGGGCAACCCUGAUCCAGCCAUGCCGCGUGCGGGAAGAAGGCCUUCGGGUUGUAAACCGCUUUUGUUCGGGAAGAAAUCCUCUGGGCUAAUACCCCGGGGGGAUGACGGUACCGGAAGAAUAAGCACCGGCUAACUACGUG